UUUAUGGAGAGUUUGAUCCUGGCUCAGGAUGAACGCUGGCGGCGUGCCUAAUACAUGCAAGUCGAGCGAACGGACGAGAAGCUUGCUUCUCUGAUGUUAGCGGCGGACG
rnacentral:rRNA from 2 species